GACGUAGGGGGCAAGCGUUGUUCGGAAUUAUUGGGCGUAAAGCGCGCGUAGGCGGCUACUUAAGUCGGAUGUGAAAGCCCUUGGCUCAACUGAGGAAGUGCACCCGAAACUGAGUGGCUAGAGUACGAAAGAGGGUCGCGGAAUUCCCGGUGUAGAGGUGAAAUUCGUAGAUAUCGGGAGGAACACCGGUGGCGAAGGCGGCGACCUGGGUCGAUACUGACGCUGAUGCGCGAAAGCCAGGGGAGCAAACGGG
rnacentral:rRNA from 1 species